rnacentral:rRNA from 1 species
GACGAACGCUGGCGGCGCGCUUAAUACAUGCAAGUCGAACGAGAAGCCAGAGCUUGCUCUGGUGGAAAGUGGCGAACGGGUGAGUAACACGUGAGAAACCUGCCCAAAGAUUGGGAUAAGCCUUGGAAACGAGGUCUAAUACCAAAUACCUUCUUUUAACACAUGUUAAAAAGAAGAAAUGCUCCGGCGCUUUGGGAUGGUCUCGCGAUCUAUCAGCUUGUUGGUGAGGUAACGGCUCACCAAGGCAUCGACGGAUAGCUGGUCUGAGAGGAUGUCCAGCCACAUUGGAACUGAGACACGGUCCAAACUCCUACGGGAGGCAGCAGUAGGGAAUCUUGCACAAUGAGGGAAACCUUGAUGCAGCGACGCCGCGUGCGGGACGAAAGGCCCUAGGGUUGUAAACCGCUUUCAGUAGGGACGAAAGUGACGGUACCUACAGAGGAAGCCCCGGCCAACUAUGUGCCAGCAGCCGCGGUAAU